rnacentral:rRNA from 1 species
CAGAUUGAACGCUGGCGGCAGGCCUAACACAUGCAAGUCGAACGGUAACAGGAAGAAGCUUGCUUCUUUGCUGACGAGUGGCGGACGGGUGAGUAAUGUCUGGGAAACUGCCUGAUGGAGGGGGAUAACUACUGGAAACGGUAGCUAAUACCGCAUAACGUCGCAAGACCAAAGAGGGGGACCUUCGGGCCUCUUGCCAUCGGAUGUGCCCAGAUGGGAUUAGCUUGUUGGUGGGGUAACGGCUCACCAAGGCGACGAUCCCUAGCUGGUCUGAGAGGAUGACCAGCCACACUGGAACUGAGACACGGUCCAGACUCCUACGGGAGGCAGCAGUGGGGAAUAUUGCACAAUGGGCGCAAGCCUGAUGCAGCCAUGCCGCGUGUAUGAAGAAGGCCUUCGGGUUGUAAAGUACUUUCAGCGGGGAGGAAGGGAGUAAAGUUAAUACCUUUACUCAUUGACGUUACCCGCAGAAGAAGCACCGGCUAACUCCGUGCCAGCAGCCGCGGUAAUACGGAGGGUGCAAGCGUUAAUCGGAAUUACUGGGCGUAAAGCGCACGCAGGCGGUUUGUUAAGUCAGAUGUGAAAUCCCCGGGCUCAACCUGGGAACUGCAUCUGAUACUGGCAAGCUUGAGUCUCGUAGAGGGGGGUAGAAUUCCAGGUGUAGCGGUGAAAUGCGUAGAGAUCUGGAGGAAUACCGGUGGCGAAGGCGGCCCCCUGGACGAAGACUGACGCUCAGGUGCGAAAGCGUGGGGAGCAAACAGGAUUAGAUACCCUGGUAGUCCACGCCGUAAACGAUGUCGACUUGGAGGUUGUGCCCUUGAGGCGUGGCUUCCGGAGCUAACGCGUUAAGUCGACCGCCUGGGGAGUACGGCCGCAAGGUUAAAACUCAAAUGAAUUGACGGGGGCCCGCACAAGCGGUGGAGCAUGUGGUUUAAUUCGAUGCAACGCGAAGAACCUUACCUGGUCUUGACAUCCACGGAAGUUUUCAGAGAUGAGAAUGUGCCUUCGGGAACCGUGAGACAGGUGCUGCAUGGCUGUCGUCAGCUCGUGUUGUGAAAUGUUGGGUUAAGUCCCGCAACGAGCGCAACCCUUAUCCUUUGUUGCCAGCGGUCCGGCCGGGAACUCAAAGGAGACUGCCAGUGAUAAACUGGAGGAAGGUGGGGAUGACGUCAAGUCAUCAUGGCCCUUACGACCAGGGCUACACACGUGCUACAAUGGCGCAUACAAAGAGAAGCGACCUCGCGAGAGCAAGCGGACCUCAUAAAGUGCGUCGUAGUCCGGAUUGGAGUCUGCAACUCGACUCCAUGAAGUCGGAAUCGCUAGUAAUCGUGGAUCAGAAUGCCACGGUGAAUACGUUCCCGGGCCUUGUACACACCGCCCGUCACACCAUGGGAGUGGGUUGCAAAAGAAGUAGGUAGCUUAACCUUCGGGAGGGCGCUUACCACUUUGUGAUUCAUGACUGGGGUGAAGUCGUAACAAGGUAACCGUAGGGGAACCUGCG